GGGACUCAGAGCUGGGUCCAGGGCACAGCUGCCACUCCACACCAUCUCAUGGGGCUGUGCUCCUCCCUGUGGGGUUGACUGAGCCUUGAGUCCAGCCCUGGUGGAACGGGAUGUGGAGAAGUCCCGCAUGAUGGUUGUGACACCACCAAGGAGCAAAUCAACUGCUAUCUCCACAGCAGCCGCCUCCUCCAGGCACUGCUCUGAGGCAACUGCCUUAAAUGCCAUCCCCAAGGCAACUGCCCGCCCUGAGGUAACUGCCUUCCCUGAGGCAACUGCCCGCCCUGAGGUAACUGCCUUUCCUGAGGCAACUGUCUUAACUGCCCUCCCUGAGGUAACUUCCCGCCCUGAGAUCUAGAUUUGAACCACAUGGAAGCUGACAUCUCAGAUUCAUGAAGUAUUCAGAAGCCAGAAAAGUCCUUGCUGUAUAAUUACUGAUCUUAACCUGCAAGUACAGCUUCAUGCCUGUGCAACAGAGGAAGCCUGACAGCUCCGGAUCCAGCUGUAAUGCAAUGCACCAGGCGAGCUCACGCCAUGCAGCAGGCCAUAAAGCUUAGGCACGGGGCUGUAAGGGUGCUUGGAAAUGAGCUCCGUUGCACCUUCAAGAUCACAACACUGGCAGCAUCCUUCUCACAGUGCAUCUAUGCUGUCCCUCUUCUGCCUGCCCUACGUGACGAAGCAUUCAUCUAAGCUUAAGCAGUGACUGCAGAUCCUACAGGCAGAACUCUGUGCCUGGCUCAGGCAAUUUCUUACAACUCCAGCCAUCUUCAGCAGCCAAUAGCAGAUGAUUUUCUCAAGCUGAUAACUCAAGAUAUUGUGGCGUCGUAUAAAACACCCUUUUUGGCCUGAAUCUGGACUCAGACUCCCAACGCAACACAAGACCAAAACCCUACCUGAAGGAAUUUAUCCAGCUCUCAGGUCACAUACUUGAAACAUAAUCCUCGACUGCAAAAUUUACAAAUAUUUUAACUAGCCAUUGGAACUGAAAUUGCACACCCAGUAGAUCGCCG
rnacentral:lncRNA from 1 species